UUUUUGGAAUGUUAACAGAGAACCUCGGAUCUACAUCAGACUGCUGAACAUCAUUUGCUUUGCUGUAUAUGAGUACAAUAAAUUCAGGUUUUGAUCUUCCAUACUGACGGUACCAGUGGAGAUUAUCUGAACCUCCCGAUGCAGUGAAACUACAGGAUAAUUUAACAUUUGAACCUUCCUCAGCAAAAACAUCUGUUUUGUUUGGUUUAAUGACAUUUCCAAAGACAGCAGCUGAAAAAGAAAAUAGAAUAACUGAAUAAAGAUCCAUUGUACAACUGUUCACUCUGGGAAGAGUCAAGCUGAAUCGAUUCAAUCGCAGUCUCUGUCAGACACAAGAUCAUAUGAACACUGAGUCCCUCCUCUCUGAGCCACAUUAUGAUGAAUUUGACAUCAGAUCCAGUCACAUGACCUACUGUUAAAAGUGGUUACCAGUAAAUAAAUAAAUUAACCAAAUUUGAUUUUAAUUAUUUAACCAAAUAUCAUCCUUUUUUAGGAAUAUGACCUUGUGAGAAUAUAAUUAUUGUAAUAUGUUCCUGCAUUUUUUCCAUUUCUUCCAUUGCAGUCAUGUCUUGAAUGGUAUUUGGGGCUUGACGCACACAAAUAUACACAACAGCGUACCAUCA